ACGGGUGAGUAACACGUGGGUGAUCUGCCUUGCACUCUGGGAUAAGCCUGGGAAACUGGGUCUAAUACCGGAUAUGACCACGUACUGCAUGGUGUGUGGUGGAAAGAUUUAUCGGUGCGAGAUGGGCCCGCGGCCUAUCAGCUUGUUGGUGGGGUAAUGGCCUACCAAGGCGACGACGGGUAGCCGGCCUGAGAGGGCGACCGGCCACACUGGGACUGAGACACGGCCCAGACUCCUACGGGAGGCAGCAGUGGGGAAUAUUGCACAAUGGGCGGAAGCCUGAUGCAGCGACGCCGCGUGAGGGAUGACGGCCUUCGGGUUGUAAACCUCUUUCGACAGGGACGAAGCGUGAGUGACGGUACCUGUAGAAGAAGCACCGGCCAACUACGUGCCAGCAGCCGCGGUAAUACGUAGGGUGCGAGCGUUGUCCGGAAUUACUGGGCGUAAAGAGCUUGUAGGCGGUUCGUCGCGUCGAUUGUGAAAACUUGCAGCUCAACUGCAAGCUUGCAGUCGAUACGGGCGGACUAGAGUACUUCAGGGGAGACUGGAAUUCCUGGUGUAGCGGUGAAAUGCGCAGAUAUCAGGAGGAACACCGGUGGCGAAGGCGGGUCUCUGGGAAGUAAC
rnacentral:rRNA from 1 species